AUUGAACGCUGGCGGCAUGCUUUACACAUGCAAGUCGAACGGUAACAGGUUAAGCUGACGAGUGGCGAACGGGUGAGUAAUGCAUCGGAACGUGCCCGAUCGUGGGGGAUAACGCAGCGAAAGCUGCGCUAAUACCGCAUACGAUCUGAGGAUGAAAGCGGGGGACCGUAAGGCCUCGCGCGAUCGGAGCGGCCGAUGUCAGAUUAGGUAGUUGGUGGGGUAAAGGCCCACCAAGCCGACGAUCUGUAGCUGGUCUGAGAGGACGACCAGCCACACUGGGACUGAGACACGGCCCAGACUCCUACGGGAGGCAGCAGUGGGGAAUUUUGGACAAUGGGCGAAAGCCUGAUCCAGCCAUUCCGCGUGCAGGAUGAAGGCCCUCGGGUUGUAAACUGCUUUUGUACAGAACGAAAAGGUUUCUACUAAUACUAGGAGCUCAUGACGGUACUGUAAGAAUAAGCACCGGCUAACUACGUGCCAGCCGCCGCCGUAA
rnacentral:rRNA from 1 species